UGAUCGCUGGGUACGAGAAGGAAACGCAUUGCGAGUAAAUUUGAUGUGGAGGGAAAGAUUCAUUCCUAAGAACCCUCAGCGACUGUGUUCAAGCGCCCAGCAAAAAAAGAUGGACUGACCUUGCACAGACCUUUGUUUUCUUAAUACAAAGAUGGUACUAAUUCUUAUGUGUGUACACACACACACACACACACACACACUCAUUCACUUGCUCUCUCCCUCUUGCUUACAACACAGAAGAGUGGAUGCCGCGGGCUCAGAACAAGAGGGCAGCGGGUGGGACUGGAGGACAGGCAGGGACAGGCCAGCUCCCCUGGACUCCACACCUGAGAUGUCAGGACUUCUUUACCUGGGUUUUUACAGCUUCCGCUGUAAGGAGCGGGCUCUUCCCGCACCCUGAGCCACGCGAAGGGCAGGAUACUAUGCGAAAGUAAUUGGUUUAUGCCCCCAAGCAAUAAACUGGUUAUUUCUUUGUGUGCAGAUCUUUAAAGACAGGUAUCGUCAAACGGUACAGGGGCAGCAAAUCUGCCGACAUACUCACCAUCGAUGAGCUCUUCUUUUAGCUUUGUUAAUUCUUUUCUCAUUUCAUCUAAAAUGUCCUAAAAUAUUAGAGAAAAACAGGAAUGCAGAAAAAAAUUACUCCUCCAGAUACUCUCGCUUGCAUAAAAUUCUGAGAAUAUAUGAAGUCUGAUGUACGGUUUUGCUGCCAGACCGCUUAUGUCUUAGGGUAGCCUCGGCAAAUCAUGUUUUAACAGUCUUCUCUGAUUCCAGCCUAGCGAAACAUGAGACACCAGAAUGCUUUCUAAAACUAAAAAUAAUUCUGCUGUCCAGAGAAAGGCAGGAUUCAGAUGAUUUCUAGAAAAGACAACAGCUCUGCUUUGAACCUCAGCUUCUGGGAGCAGUAUGAGAGUUGGUGCAGAACGAAAUUUCAAGGAACAGGAAAACUACACCAGACGAGCAGAUCCCGGCCGAGCGGUGAUCCGGUCUGAAGCACAGGAUUCCCCGGGGACCCCGCCACGGCUGCCAACUGUGUUUCGAGGACUCUGGGACUCCCCUGGCGGGCCCUCAGGGCCGCCCUACCGGGUGGACACGAGGCUGGAGGGGGCCCUGCUGGACCCGCAGGUCCGAAAUGGCAGGUACCAGCCGCACGCAGCCGCCGAGCACCGGAGACGUGGCCAGGCUGGGCUGAGACGCAUCGCCCGUGUAAAACGCACCAGAGUUCAAAGAUUCGGCGUGAAGACAUAAUGUGUAAUGACGUGUAAUAGCUCUUCGGUAAUUUUUAAACACUGAUUACAUAUGGAAAUAUUAUUUAGUUCUAUUAGGUUAAAUAAGAUGUAUCAAAAUGAAUUUCGCCACUUCACUGACUUCACACGGCUGCCAGGGAUUCUCCGGCGUUCACGUGACCCCUGUCACGCUACGACGUAACAGUGUCGACCCGGACGCUCCUUCCUCCAGGAAAAGCAUUCCAUCCUCAAACCGUUCGCAAAAUCUCGAUUUCCAAGCUGAUUUUGGAAUAACAGACACCCCCACCCCCUUAAGACAUGACCAAGAACGGGGUCACGUGGCAGCGAGAAGGGUUUCUGACAAGGCGACGCGAUCCGGAAAGUAACAGCUACCCUCAGGGUGGACCAGCUCCCAGCGUGCGACCUUCCUUAACGCUGCGCGCCCCAGGUUCGGAUUCAGCUGCUCUGUUUAAGGUUCAUUUUCCUGAAAGGCUUUUCAGGUUUAAAAUAAGGUUGAACUGUCAGUAACUCCCCCGCUUUACAAUAAGGAACAAGCACAGCAGUUAUCGGAACAGCCUCACUGCGUCCUUAUUCCAAUUAAUAGGAAUCAAACCUUUCCCCUCUUCUCCUCCCCUACAGACAGCCAAGAGCGUACCACGUUCUCGAGCGCGUGCAAGUGCUCUACUCUAAAGCGUUUUCAAGAAAAGCAAGUCACGUUAGAUACACGGGAAAAUAGGGGCUUGAUCAUCAGUGACCUCAAGCUUCCUUUCCAAACUACCCAACUCGAUUUAACUUUUCAAACAGCUUUGCGGUUUAUAAAAAUUAGGUUUAUCCGAAACAUUAUCCGUAUUUCUCUCCUUAAUUCGUAUUUGACUUUAAUUCCGAACUCCUACCACUGCAACAUCAUCCGUCCCUUUUUGAGCCACGAACACCUGCUAGCAUUUAAAAAAAGGAGCGACGCCAUGGGGACAACAGGCUUUGAGGAAAGGUCCGGGUUCUGAUCGCGACUCGAACUACGGACGGGGCCGCGGGGCUGAGCGGCGUGACUUCUCAGAACCUCCGAAGCACACAGUUGGAGUACACACGCUGUUGGACGGGCCUCCACGAGGACCCCUAGACGGUGCCGCACCGUGAGCCCGGCCGGUGCCCGGCCUGCGCGUCCGCCAGGGGGUCGGUACGAGGCCACCACGGGGCCUGGUGUGGUCACCGCUGUCAGAGGCCACCGGGUGUGCGGGAUGGGAAGGCCAAGGGGACGCUCUCGCUGCGGCUCCUCUGGGCUCAGGUGCUCCGGCUGGCCUUCCCCUUCGAGUCUUUUUAACACUACCAAUUUUUUAAAAACGUAUUCCACCUCCUCUAGGAAUAAAAUCUUGGAAAGUCCACCAUCUCCUCACCCGUCACUCCUUCUCUUUUCCUGCUUCUGAGCACAUCCUCGUACAAUGUGUGUCCAUGUACGACAUGCAUCCACGUACGACGCGCGUCCGCGUACGGCGCGCGUCCGUGUACGACGCACAUUCGGGUACAACGUACGUCUGUGUACGACGUAUCCAAGAUACGGACAUCUUUUUCUUUCUCAUAAAGGUGGGAUAACUGUUGGCACAGGUUGGUCACUGUUUUGCCAGCACGGGUGAGGGCUCGCGAUCCAGUAUUAAAUGCUCUCAACUGUGACCCCUUCGUGGCCGCUGGGUGUUCCCCCACACUGUCCAUCUGUAUACUUCUACAGUAUUUUCUUAGCAUAAAUUCCUGGGAGUGAAAUUUCUGGGUUCAAAGUUGCAGGACCGACUGGAACAUGAUAAAGCAGAAGUAUUUCUCACGGGGCUCAGCGUUUCCAGCCGUAAUGGUCUCAGUAAAGAGACAGGCAACGCGAUGGGACCGCGGCGCUUCUUCCGGCAGGAGCGGAGGAGCGGCGUGCUACGGGCAGGGGCUGGAGCGAGGCCGCGUGCGACACAGUCUCGUUCUUCUGAAACCGUGCGGUGCCCACUAAACGUCUGGCGAACUGACCCCUAAUGUGAAUCGGUUUGCAAAUCCCGCGCCUGGUUUUGGGCCGAAAAAAACUUUCCUGAUGAAGUUUUUACGGAGAUGUCAUCCGAACAGCGUGUUUCCAGCUAACUACUUCCACAAACUUAUUUUGUUUGUUCGUUCGUUCGUUUUAAAAGGAAAUGCCACACAGAAGCGGACUGCCAACUAGGACUACGCUUUUGGAACGCGAGGCUCUACUAAAACUUCUACGUGAAGAAGUCAGUCUUAGAAAUCGAGUAUUUUAAACAACAGUUUCAGUAUCAAAUAAACCAGUCCUGUCUCCUCUCCAACUCUGGCAACCAGAGGGAAGCCCGGGGGAAAACCUGGAGUUUUACGGGCGUUCACCCAGGUGGUUAGCCUGGUAAAGUGGCCACGCUCUGAGGGCCACACAUCGAUGCAGAUGCAGACUAGUAGUCAAGUCACAUAUCAUCAAGUUCGCGGAGGACCAACGUCACAAAUCUGCCACCAGGACUCGGUACCCGUCACUUUGCGAAGCCUCUUACAAGGCUUAUCGUCCUCUAAACCCAUAGACGCUGGGCUGUGAAGAUGAACUAUUGAGUUACUUUGCCUUUCAUAUCAAAAUACGACUGCUUAAAAGGCUGGGAGGGAGCAAGUCGACCGAUUUGGUAUCAUUAGGCAGCCGCCGCUCUGCCCUUAGGAACAAGGGAAGUGAUACCUUUCAGAGAACUCCCCUCAGUAAGCACUGAGCUGGGCGGGGAGAAGAUUACAGGACACAGCUCCUUUCCCCUGGGAGGGGACGGACCCCUUUACGCUUCGCCUGAGGGGGACUGUUGAAUCCCCUAGUCACGAGGACGUGCAGAUCCGCGGCAGGGAAGGCAGGGGUCCCUGCAGAGCCCGAACUAGCGAGAACCCUUAAUGUCGACAGACACACUGUGUGCGUUUCCUUCCCCACGCCGUCUGCUCCUGCUCGUCGAGUUACACUGCUAAUUCCUCUGCUUUUCUUCUACUCUUUACAUUGAGGUGGUGCAACCAGCAAAUUCUUUCCUCCUAAGUUCUAUAAUGAAUAUCCCCUGACGUUCAUAUGAGUGCCUACAGCCUGCUAAUUAACUGGGCGGUAUGUUAUGACUAUAUCCGUAUUAUUAAAUAACACAAGCAUUAUACAAUAAACGAUUGAGGAAACAUGCAA